rnacentral:lncRNA from 10 species
CUGGGGUGGCAGAUAGCAGAGGAUCCACUUUCAGGACUAGGUGGAAGUAGGGGAAAAUAAACUAUAACCCUAUUCUAUACAACAUUUGAAAGACAAAUCCUUUCACCUACUGAAGGUGUGGAGAAACUAGGACACUCACAUGUGGUUGGUGAGAAGGUAAUUAUACCGCAUGGGAACAGAUGGCAACAGAGAGGAUCAAGCAAAGCACUGUGGGACCAACUGACCAGAGGUGAGUCAAGGGGUCAAAGCUUCAGAGCUGACAACUGAGUCCAGGGGACAUCACCAAGCAGCGGCAGGAAUAAGAUCAGAGGCAAAUGGGGGUUCAUCCACCAGUGCUUCAGCUACGCAAGUGGGAAGGGCUCCAGCAUGGUCCUAGAUGACGGAGGAAUUAAAUUAUCUUCUUCCAUGUCCACCCCUAUAGUCAGGGUUUACUGAGUGUUUACUAGGGCCAGGUACUCUUCUAAGCACUUCAUUAAAACUCAAUUCUCACAACUACUCUGUGAAGUAGGUACUCUUACCACCAAACAUAUUUUGUAUAAGAGCAAAUUCAAGCCUAGAAAAAUUCAGUUAUUUGCCCACAGUCACGAAGCAAGCACAGUCCCAGCAGUUUGACUUGAUAGCCCCCACCACUCUACAGAGAGUUCUACAUUAGCAAGGACCUUUGGCUCCAACUGAUAUGAAAUGGGGUUCAAGCCUUAAUGCUCAGUAAGAUUCCCCCCAACCUAAAUGGACCACACUGAAUUAAAUCUCUUAAGGUAUCCUGCCACCUUAAUUCCUGAUAAUUCCGAAAUGGGAGUUUUACGUAAU